UACGUAGGGGGCAAGCGUUGUCCGGAUUUAUUGGGCGUAAAGAGCGUGUAGGCGGCCAGGUAGGUCAGUUGUGAAAACUCGAGGCUCAACCUCGAGAUGUCGGCUGAAACCAUCUGGCUAGAGUCCGGAAGAGGAGAAUGGAAUUCCCGGUGUAGCGGUGAAAUGCGCAGAUAUCGGGAAGAACACCCGUGGCGAAGGCGGUUCCCUGGGGCGGUACUGACGCUGAGGCGCGAAAGCGUGGGGAGCGAACAGG
rnacentral:rRNA from 1 species